AGUUAACGUCACAGUACGCAGGUAUUAACUACGCACCUUUCCUCACUGAUGAAAGUGCUUUACAACCCGAAAGCCUUCUUCACACACGCGGCAUGGCUGGAUCAGGCUUUCGCCCACUUGUCCAAUAUUCCCC
rnacentral:rRNA from 1 species